AUUGAACGCUGGCGGCGUGCUUAACACAUGCAAGUCGAUCGGUUACGCGGGGGCAACCCUGGCGACGAGAGGCGGACGGGUGAGGAACGCUUGGGAAUCUGCCUAUCAGCGGGGGACAACACGGGGAAACUCGUGCUAAUACCGCAUACGCUCUACGGAGGAAAGCCGGGGACCGCAAGGCCUGGCACUGAUAGAUGAGCCCAAGCCGGAUUAGCUAGUUGGCGGGGUAACGGUCCACCAAGGCGACGAUCCGUAGCUGGUCUGAGAGGACGAUCAGCCACACUGGAACUGAGACACGGUCCAGACUCCUACGGGAGGCAGCAGUGGGGAAUAUUGGACAAUGGGGGAAACCCUGAUCCAGCGACGCCGCGUGGGUGAAGAAGGCCUGCGGGUUGUAAAGCCCUUUCGGUAGGGACGAAAGCUCUCGACCUAACACGUCGGGAGGUUGACUUAACCUACAGAAGAAGCACCGGCUAACUCUGUGCCAGCCGCCGCAGUAACAC
rnacentral:rRNA from 1 species